rnacentral:tRNA from 1 species
GCCCCUGUGGCGCGGUGGCUGGCGCCCCGUGCUUUGAACAAGAGGUUGCGGGUUCAAAUCUCGCCGCUGACC